GGCACGGAGCCCGGCGAGGACCGAAUCGCUCGUCCUAGGCCGGCGGACGAAUUGGUUCCCUUGAGUUACCAGGUUCGAGUCCUGCCGGGCCA
rnacentral:tRNA from 1 species